GAUCGCUAAAAUUUUCACAAGUAGAGGGUAAAGAGAGAAAAAACGAAGUUGCCACAGCCCUGAUUGCCAGCCCUUUAGAACUGAUAAGAACAGAAAUCAUCACAACCUUGGUUCUCGGUAGAUUUGUCAAUCUGCAUGCCAUUGGGAUCAUGUUAGAAGACCUAGGCACUUGGGAAUGCCAGCAAUCAGGUACCAUCUUUAAUACGUAUAUGGAGUAAAUUUUUCUGGAUUACUGAGGAUUUUUUGAUCCCCCUAAAUUUUGUGAACAUGGUUGUUAAAAAGGGAUGCCAAUAAUUAAAAGGAAGGAAUGAAGAGGGUGGCUGGCAACUGAACUCCAGAUGUGCCAAGUUUGAAGUCCUGUGGCAACAUCCCGCCAUGAAGGAAGAAGAUCUGAGGACAGUAAAAUAACUAUUAUUCCCAGAAAAGCUCUCAGAAUCCAAGGGAAGAGCUACAGGAAGGAAGCAAUUAUGGUUGAUGUAAAUGGUAUCGAAUACCACAAAGGUGUCAGGUAAGAUAAUUAACCACUGGACUGAGAGGUCUGGGGAGUAAGCAGAAGGGAAAGCAGUCAGAGGGGUAACAGCAGCAGGUGAGGAGGGAACAAACUUUCAGACAUGUGAAUAAGCCUUGUCUUACCUUCACCUCCACGGUAAAUGGUGGAACACAGGCGUUUUCUGCUCUGCCCACUAUCACUUCCUCCAAGGGGUCCCAUUCGUUGUAAGAAGAGACAGGGCAGUCCUUGGGCAGAGGCUCAGUAGCCUUGUCGUCAGCUGCACAGGAGUUCCGGGAGGAAGCCGUAGCU